AUGACCUGGACGGCCCUUCUGCUCAGGAUCCUGGCUCAUUGCUCAGGAUCUGUAGCCUCUUACGUGCUGACUCAGCCACCGUCAGUAUCCGUGACCCCAGGACAGACGGCCAGAAUCACCUGUGAAGGCAACAACAUUGGAAGUAAAAUUGCACACUGGUACCAGCAGAAGCCACAACAGGCCCCUCUGCUGGUCAUCUACGGAGAUAGCAACCGUCCCUCUGGGAUCCCAGACCAAUUCUCUGGCUCCAACUCUGGGAACACAGCCACCCUUGACCAUCAGUGGGGCCCAGGCUGA